GCAUUCUGGAAAUGGAUUCAGGCUAACAGAGUGUUCUGAAUAGAGACGCCUAAAACAAGAGCCAAAGACAUAGCAACGGAGAACGUGGGUGGUACAGCCCUCCACCCUGGCGAGCAGCACGUUAGAAUCACAUAGGAGCUUAAAAAGUACUGACUGGCCUGGUCUUUUUUGGUGUGAAGGUGGGAUGCAGGCUUCCUGGGCUUAUCCUCUCGUACAGCCAGAGUUGAGAACCAUCUGAGUAGCGCUUCUCACACUUCUGGCCACAUCAGAAUCGUCCGGGGGCUUGUUCACUGCAGGUUGCUGGGUCCCAUCUCUAGCCUCUGAUCCAGUAGCCUGGGGUGGGGCACAGGAUGUCCUGCUGCUGGGGUCUGGGCAGUGCUAUGAGAACUGCUGACGUUGGAGCUCGAUCAGGCAGUUGGACCACCCAAAUGGCAAACUAAAAGCAUAGAAGCGGACACCAGAGGCUCCUGGACCUGAGAUGUGGCCCUGGAAGUGACCAGAUGUGGUCUCAAGAGAUGCGGGCCCAGGGCUAGGAAUGCCGCCAUCCGGGGAGGCCCUAGAGCAGAGC
rnacentral:lncRNA from 1 species